ACACAUGCAGUCGAGGGGUAACAGAUCUUCGGAUGCUGACGACCGGCGAACGGGUGAGUAACACGUAUGCAACUUACCCAUAACUCGGGAAUAGCCCAAAGAAAUUUGGAUUAAUACCCAAUAAUACAGGCGUACCGCAUGGUAUUCUUCGUUAAAGAAUAAUCGGUUAUGGAUAGGCAUGCGUUCUAUUAGGUAGUUGGUGAGGUAACGGCUCACCAAGCCGACGAUGGAUAGGGGAACUGAGAGGUUGUCCCCCCACACUGGUACUGAGACACGGACCAGACUCCUACGGGAGGCAGCAGUGAGGAAUAUUGGUCAAUGGACGAAAGUCUGAACCAGCCAAAUCGCGUGAAGGAAGAAGGUAUUAUGUAUCGUAAACUUCUUUUGUAAGAGAGUAAAGUGCACUACGUGUAGUGUAUUGCAAGUACCUUACGAAUAAGCAUCGGCUAAUUCCGUGCCAGCAGCCGCGGUAAUACGGAAGAUGCAAGUGUUAUCCGGAUUUAUUGGGUUUAAAGGGUGCGUAGGUGGUCUAAUAAGUCAGUGGUGAAAUCUCUUUUGCUUAACAAGGAAAUUGCCAUUGAAACUGUUAGACUUGAGAAUGGACGAGGUAGGCGGAAUUCGUAGUGUAGCGGUGAAAUGCAUAGAUAUUACGAAGAACUCCAAUAGUGUAGACUGCUUACCAGACCAUAUCUGACACUAAAGGCACGAAAGUGUGGGUAUCAAACAGGAUUAGAUACCCUGGUAGUCCACACAGUAAACGAUGAAUACUAACUGUUCGCGAUAUACAGCAAGUGGUCGAGCGAAAGCGUUAAGUAUUCCACCUGGGAAGUAUGCCGGCACGGUGAAACUCAAGGAAUGACGGGGCUCGCACAGCGAGACAUGUGUUUAUUCGAUAU
rnacentral:rRNA from 1 species